rnacentral:misc_RNA from 1 species
UACGGAGGGUGCAAGCGUUGUUCGGAAUCAUUGGGCGUAAAGCGCACGUAGGCGGGUUCGUAUGUCAAUUGUGAAAUUCCUGGGCUUAACCUAGGAAUUGCAGUUGAAACUGCGGAUCUUGAAUACCUGAGAGGGUGGGAGAAUUCCUGGUGGAGUAGUGAAAUACGUAGAGAUCAGGAGGAAUACCGGAGGCGAAGGCGCCUGCCUGGCAGUGUAUUGACGCUGAGGUGCGAAAGCGUGGGGAGCAAACAGG